CCCUUUUUGGAAUGGAGACAGCAGAGAGCAGCUCGUCUGAGUUCAAGAGGGAAAGAUAUGGUGGCCAAGCAUGAGGUGCUCCACAAAGGCCGUGGGGGAUUUGAAGCACGAGAAGCCUGACCAGACUUGGAACUGAAGCACCUUAAGGACAAAAGAAAGACUUGCUGAGCUCGCUCACAGACCUUCUAGAGCAGCGCUGGGCUCAUGGAUCUGGAGAUUAUGGACAGAAGAUAAUGUAGAUGUUAUAACCAGGCCAGCGUCCUGUGGUAAAGGGUGUCUUUAGAUCACUGUUUCGUCGGUAUAGGUAAAUGACAUGAAGAACAUCUUUAUAGGCAGGGGAUGAGAAUCUGAGAUGAAGAAAAGAGGCUCCCCUGAUGGACCAUUCUAAGCUACUGUCAGAAGCAGGAUCCAUAGAACUUAAGGACAUGAUUGCAACAAUUAUCAGACAUUGGCCUCUUAGGUCAUGGUGAUCUUUUAGUAUUUUGGCUUUCUGCUGUCCUUUCAUAAAGGAACCUCAUUUUUAGCUUCUAUUGAAGAUAUAAAAUCAUCUCAUAGUAUUUUCUCAUUACUAGGAGCUGUAAAUCACUUCAAAGCUGUCUUUCUCCUUGAUCAUUUGCAUAUCAAAGUAUUUCUCUUGAGUACGGUGAUCUCUCCCCCUGUGGUUUGCUGUGUACCAGUUCUCUCUGGAUCCUAGGGCCUAGGGAAGUGUGGAUUCCAAGUGACUGGUGUUUUUCUACAGUAGAGCUUUUUUGUUGGCUCUUACCUGGGAGGACAAUGGGGAAGGGCCAGGGCCAUCCUGUUCUUUGCUGGGUGUGACCUUUCCUGCUCUGCUUCAGGGUUCCAUGCUGAAACCACCUUUAGCCAUCAUCGAGUGGGACUCCUUUUUACAUUUUGGUGAUUUCAAUAUUGUUUUUGUAUGGGUUUUGAGUUUCAGUCCUAAAUCUGUGUGGUGUGACAGAGGGAACCUCUACACAAAGGCCUGCCAAUCUGCAACCUCUUCAUGCUGCCACUGGUUAGAUCAACAGUUCACUCUAGACACUGAACCUUGCCUGCAUGCGUGCUAGUGUCACCACCAACAUCAGUAUCACUGUGCACCAGCAUCAGCAUCACUGUGCACCAGCAUCAGCAUCACUGUGUAUCAGCAUCAGCAUCACUGUGCACCAGCAUCAGCAUCACUGUGCACCAGCAUCAGCAUCACUGUGUAUCAGCAUCAGCAUCACUGUGCACCAGCAUCAGCAUCACUGUGUACCAGCAUCAGCAUCACUGUGCACCAGCAUCAGCAUCACUGUGUACCAGCAUCAGCAUCACUGUGUACCAGCAUCAGCAUCACUGUGUAUCAGCAUCAGCAUCACUGUGCACCAGCAUCAGCAUCACUGUGCACCAGCAUCAGCAUCACUGUGUAUCAGCAUCAGCAUCACUGUGCACCAGCAUCAGCAUCACUGUGCACCAGCAUCAGCAUGACUGUGUACCAGCAUCAGCAUCACUGUGCACCAGCAUCAGUAUCACUGUGUACCAGCAUCAGCAUCACUGUGCACCAGCAUCAGUAUCACUGUGCACAGCUCAAUCUCCAUACGUCAAUCGCCAGAUCGGUCCAAAAGUGUCUUGUCUGUGUGUAUUUUCUCCCACUUUACCACUCCACUCUGGCUUAAGCCUUCCCACCUGCUACUGUGUACUGUGUGGUUGCUGGCUUUGGGAACUCCCAAACUUUCCCUCUGUAUUUCAUGUUUCUGUUGGCCUGACAAGUAUCUCUUUCUAAAAAAGUACUAGUUUAUUUUAUGUGAAUGAAUGUUUUGUCUGUGUAGCUGGUAUGUGCUUGGUGCCCAUGAAUCCCAGAAGAGGGUAUUGGAUCCUCUGGAAGUGGAGUUAGUUACAGAUGCUUGUGAGCCUUCAUGUGGGUUCUGGGAAUUGAACCCAGGUCUUUUGGAUCCCAGUGAUUUUAAUGGUCGAGCUAUCUUUCCAGCUCCUUCAGGGCCUGAGAGAGGUCCUAGAACCCCUAAAUUCCCCAGUGACUCCCCUUUGUUAUUCUGAGAAGUUUCAGCUUCAACUUGCCAUUCUGGGAAACACAGGACCCUAUAAUCCACCUGCCUUCCGGGAUGAACACAUGGCUUCACCCCUGAAGGCAGUGCUUAAGGCACUGCAUGAUUCUCCACUUCCAAACGUGAUCUGUAUUUUCUGCCCACCUACCUCUUUGCUUAGUCAUUCACUGUAUUAUUCCCUAUUCUGUGCUGAGCACGAGUGUGCUCUCUCUCUCUGUCUCCUUUCUUUUUGCUUUUUUUUUCUCAUCUUUCUUUUUUUUUUGUCAGUUUUAUGUAUCUUUGAAAAUUUUAUUGAAUGUAACCUUUUUAAGAGUCUUGGAUGCAAUGUCCUUUCUUUGAGCCUUGAAAUCUGAAUCAUCUCUUUAGUGUAUUGUGGCAAAUGACGGUGUUUCUCUGUGUAUUCCUAGCUGUCCUGGAACUCUUUUUGUAGAUCAGGCUGGCCUCGAACUCACAGAGAUUUGCCUGCCUCUGCCUCUCAAGUGCUGGGAUCAACAGCAUGUGCUACCACUGUCCAGGUCUUGAUUUCUUGAUUUCUUGAUUUAAAAGAAUGAGUCUCUGCAUAAGGCUUGCCUAGGCCAUCAGCUACAAGCUUCACUGGACAGUGUACAGACAGCAUAGAGUUGGCUUCAUACUAGGGAUUGAGCAUCUAUUGGUGGAAUAAAUACAUCAAUAUGUGGAA
rnacentral:lncRNA from 1 species